AAUUGGCGUAGCGCUUGCUGAGCGGCGGCGGCAACCGACGUACACAAGGGGCUUGAGCGUUCUGUGGAGAGAGUGCGAGGUCAGGCCAUGAACUUGGGAGAUGGUUUAAAGCUUGAAACUGAAUUACUGGAUGGAAAAACCAAGCUAAUAUUGUCUCCAUAUGAACAUAAAUCAAAAAUUUCUGUGAAGAUGGGAAAUAAGGCCAAGAUUGCAAAAUGUCCUUUAAGAACAAAAACUGGGCACAUUCUAAAAUCAACACAAGAUACUUGUAUUGGGAGUGAAAAACUUUUGCAAAAGAAGCCAGUUGGUUCAGAAACAUCACAGGCAAAAGGUGAAAAAAAUGGAAUGACUUUUUCAUCCACUAAGGAUUUAUGUAAACAAUGUAUAGAUAAAGACUGUCUUCAUAUCCAGAAAGAGAUUUCACCUGCAACCCCUAAUAUGCAGAAGACUAGAAACACCGUAAAUACAUCUCUAGUAGGUAAACAGAAGCCUCACAAAAAACACAUCACAGCUGAAAACAUGAAGAGCAGUUUGGUGUGUCUAACACAAGACCAACUACAACAGAUUUUGAUGACUGUAAACCAAGGAAAUAGAUCUCUUUCCCUGACUGAGAAUGGAAAGGAGGCAAAAAGUCAAUAUAGUCUAUAUUUAAACAGUAUUUCUAAUCAGCCAAAGGAUGAGAACAUUAUGGGAUUAUUCAAAAAAACUGAAAUGGUUUCAUCUGUCCCAGCUGAAAAUAAAUCUGUCUUAAAUGAACAUCAGGAGACAUCUAAACAGUGUGAGCAAAAAAUUGCCAUAGAGAAUGAAUGGAAACCAGCUGAUAUAUUCAGUACUCUGGGGGAAAGGGAAUGUGAUAGAAGUUCGUUGGAAGCAAAAAAAGCCCAGUGGAGGAAAGAGCUAGAUGAACAGGUUGCUUUAAAGAAGAAAGAAAAAGAAGUUUCUGAAAAAUGGAAUGAUCCUUGGAAAAAAUCUGAAAGUGAUAAAAUAAUAUGGGAAAAACAUCAAAUUCUUGACCAAUCUAGGGCUGGAAUGCAGUGGCACAGUCUCAGCUCACUGCAACCUACCCCUCCCAGGCUCAAGCGAUUCUCCUGCCUCAGCCUCCCGAGUAGCUAGGACUACAGCUCUUCAAGCAUUCUAUCACAGUCUCGUAGCCAGGUUAUGGUGGUCCAAGCUGAUGGGGCAUUCACAACUUAGAGCUAGUCAGACUUUAGAGGAAACAGUACUGCUGGAGCACCCUUUCAGUGCUGUGAAACAAGAACUGCAAAGAAAAUGGAUUGAAGAGUUGAAUAAGCAAAUAGAAGAUGACCGUCAAAGAAAAAUAGAGGAAAAAAUUAUAUAUUCAAAGGGUGAGGAACAUGACAGAUGGGCAAUGCACUUUGAUUCAUUAAAGAGUUAUCCUGGUUCUCAAUCUCAGCUGUUCUCUCAGUCAACACACAAACAACCUGAGUACUUCUGUGUCUCUCCUGACACUCAGGAGCUGGCUGAUGUCAGCAGUGUUUGUACACCUACAACCGGAAGCCAGGUUGAACCUUCAGAGGAGGAGCAUAUAGCAAAACCUAUUAAGGAUGUGGUUAUGGCAAACAGUAAGAAAACAAACUUUCUCCGUUCUAUGACUGCUCUCUUGGACCCAGCUCAGAUUGAGGAACGAGACAGACGACGACAAAAACAAUUAGAGCAUCAGAAAGCCAUCACUGCCCAGGUAGAAGAGAAGCGCAGGAAGAAACAACUGGAGGAAGAGCAAAGAAAGAAGGAAGAACAAGAAGAGGAGCUUCGCUUAGCACAGGAACGUGAAGAGAUGCAGAAACAGUAUGAAGAAGACAUACUUAAGCAAAAACAAAAGGAAGUAGGAAAUCAUGACUCUCAAGACAAAUGAGCUAUUCCAGACAAUGCAGCGAGCACAGGAACUGGCACAGAGACUAAAACAAGAACAAAGAAUCCGAGAAUUGGCGCAAAAGGGACAUGACACUUCUAGACUGAUUAAAAAUCUUGGUGUUGAUACAAUACAAAUGGAAUAUAAUGCAUCUAACAUUUCAAAUUCAAGACAUGAUUCUGAUGAAAUCAGUGGUAAAAUGAAUACAUAUAUGAAUUCUACGACUUCUAAGAAGGAUACUGGUGUGCAAACAGAUGACUUAAAUAUAGGAAUAUUCACCAAUGCAGAAUCACAUUGUGGAUCAUUAAUGGAGAGGGACAUCACAAAUUGUUCAUCUCCUGAGAUUUCGGCAGAACUUAUUGGACAGUUUAGCACCAAGAAAAACAAGCAAGAACUAACUCAGGAUAAAGGAGCCAGCUUAGAAAAAGAAAACAAUCGGUGUAAUGACCAGUGUAAUCAGUUCACAAGAAUAGAGAAACAAACAAAACACAUGAAGAAAUAUCCUAAAAGGCCUGAUUGGAAUAUAAAUAAGCCACCUAAAAGGUAUAUUCCAGCAUCAGAAAAGUACCCUAAACAGCUUCAAAAGCAGAGAGAAGAAAAAAAAGUAAGGAGGCAGAUGGAAUUGCUUCAUUUGGUAGAAAAAAAUAAUCCUGGGCACCUCUCUCAAAACAGAGGCAUUUCACCAGAAAUUUUUCAUUCAUCUCAUCAAGAAACGGAGUCAAAGUUGAGGUGGCAUCUAGUCAAAAAGGAAGAAGAGCCUCUGAAUAUUCAUUCAUUCAGCAAGGAAAGGUCUCCAUCAUCACCAGUUCCAGUAGUGAAAAACAGAACCCAACAAACUCAAAAUACAUUACAUUUACCACUAAAAAACAGUAGCUAUGAGAGAGAGAAUUUGAUCUCAGGAAGUAAUCAAACAGAAUUAUCAUCUGGGAUUUCUGAAUCAUCCCAUUUUAUUCCGUAUGUUCGAACAAAUGAGAUCUAUUACCUUGAUCCCGAUGCACCAUUGUCUGGGCCUUCAACCCAGGACCCUCAGUACCAAAAUUCACAAGACUGUGGCCAAAAACGACAGCUAUUUGAUUCUGACUGUGUCAGGGAUCCACUUCUUAAUCCUAACAUGGUGAAAAAUAGGGAUCGACAGCAAGCAAUCCUUAAGGGACUUUCAGAACUGAGACAGGGCCUUCUCCAGAAGCAAAAGGAGUUGGAAAGUAGUCUCCUGCCUUUAGCUGAAAAUCAAGAAGAGAGUUUUGGUUCUUCAUUUUAAAUGUAGAAAAUCAAAUCCUUCACAUUUGAUUUGUGUCUUCCAAAUUAUAAAAUGUGCUCACUGGCUCAACUGUAUUUUUCAAAUAGCCUAGAUUUACUUAUUUUUUUAAAUGCUCAUUAAAAACUUGUAUACUAUGUAGUAAAAUGCUGUACUUGUUCUAUACAAUAAAACAGAUACUUCUUUUGUAAAAGCUUAGUAGUAAAAAAAAAAAAAAAAAAA